rnacentral:rRNA from 1 species
UCCUACGGGAGGCUGCAGUGGGGAAUUUUGGACAAUGGGCGAAAGCCUGAUCCAGCCAUUCCGCGUGAGUGAAGAAGGCCUUCGGGUUGUAAAGCUCUUUCGGCAGGAACGAAACGGUGGGCUCUAACAUAGCCUGCUAAUGACGGUACCUGAAGAAGAGGCACCGGCUAACUACGUGCCAGCAGCCGCGGUAAUACGUAGGGUGCGAGCGUUAAUCGGAAUUACUGGGCGUAAAGCGUGCGCAGGCGGCUUUGUAAGACAGAUGUGAAAUCCCCGGGCUUAACCUGGGAACUGCGUGUGUGACUGCAAGGCUCGAGUGUGGCAGAGGGGGGUGGAAUUCCACGUGUAGCAGUGAAAUGCGUAGAGAUGUGGAGGAACACCGAUGGCGAAGGCAGCCCCCUGGGUCAACACUGACGCUCAUGCACGAAAGCGUGGGUAGCAAACAGGAUUAGAUACCCCGGUAGUC